rnacentral:lncRNA from 1 species
UACAGUGGAUGGAUCCCAGACAAACUUCUACAACGGACAAGCUCCACCAGCAGGAUCUCUACUUCGAACUUCUUCCAGACUUCGUUAAUAUCCGAGUUUCUCCAACAGUAGGACUUCUACAGUAACUAGACUCCAUCCAAAUUUCUACGGCAGUCGAUAGCCUUCCAGAUUUCAUCCGAGCUCUUACAAGAAGCCAAAUCCCAGUCGAAAUUCUACAACGGAUGGGCUCCAC